rnacentral:rRNA from 1 species
UACGUAGGGGGCAAGCGUUGUCCGGAAUCAUUGGGCGUAAAGCGCGUGUAGGCGGCCAGGUAAGUCCGUUCUGAAAGCCCGGGGCUCAACCCCGGGAGGCGGAUGGAUACUGCUUGGCUCGAGUCCGGAAGAGGCGAGUGGAAUUCCCGGUGUAGCGGUGAAAUGCGCAGAUAUCGGGAGGAACACCAAUGGCGAAGGCAGCUCGCUGGGACGGUACUGACGCUGAGGAGCGAAAGCAUGGGUAGCGAACAGG